rnacentral:rRNA from 1 species
UACCCGCAGCACAAGUGGUGGUCAUUAUUAUUGGGCUAAAGCGUCCGUAGCUGGCUUGUUAGAUGCCUGGGUAAAUCGAUGCGCUUAACGCAUCGAAUUCCGGGUAGACCGGCAAGCUCGAGACCGGGAGAGGUGUAGGCUACUCGAGGGGUAGGGGUAAAAUCCUGUAAUCCUUCGGGGAGGACCAGUGGCGAAGGCGCUACACUAGAACGGCUCUGACAGUGAGGGACGAAGCCCUGGGGCGCAAACCGG